rnacentral:rRNA from 1 species
GAUGAACGCUGGCGGCGUGCUUAACACAUGCAAGUCGAACGCUGAAGCCCUUUCGGGGGUGGAUGAGUGGCGAACGGGUGAGUAACACGUGGGUAAUCUGCCCUGCACUCUGGGAUAAGCCUUGGAAACGGGGUCUAAUACCGGAUAGGACACAUCGCCGCAUGGUGUGUGUGUGGAAAGUUCCGGCGGUGCAGGUUGAGCCCGCGGCCUAUCAGCUUGUUGGUGGGGUGAUGGCCUACCAAGGCGACGACGGGUAGCCGGCCUGAGAGGGUGACCGGCCACACGGGGACUGAGACACGGCCCAGACUCCUACGGGAGGCAGCAGUGGGGAAUCUUGCGCAAUGGGCGAAAGCCUGACGCAGCAACGCCGCGUGGGGGAUGACGGCCUUCGGGUUGUAAACCUCUUUCGACCGGGACGAAGGGUGACUGACAGUACCUGAAGAAUAAGCACCGGCUAACUACGUGCCAGCAGCCGCCGUAA